UGUGGUAUAGUGGUGUGUAUUCCCGCCUGUCAUGCGGGUGACCCGGGUUCGAUCCUCGGCA
rnacentral:tRNA from 1 species